rnacentral:lncRNA from 1 species
AAAGAUACAUACUUGAAAAAGAAAAAGGAGGAUAGAAAGAACACGGUUUCCCCCCAUACUUAAAUGAAACAUUGUCCCCAAUGUUUCAAGGAAAUCAAAAGAAAUACAAAAAAAAGGAAAAGAAACUAGAGUCAAUACUGCCUUCCGCCUCUGAUUCUUGGGCCGGGUGAUCUUUGACGUAUUUCUAAGUUGUCAAACCUGCUAAGCAGAUCAGUGAACCGCUGGUCGGUUAUAGCAUUCCUCGCUUCCUGUUGUUGUUGCAUCUGGCGCAUCAGUUGCAU